rnacentral:rRNA from 1 species
CGUAGGGGCUAGCGUUAUCCGGAAUUACUGGGCGUAAAGGGUGCGUAGGUGGUUUCUUAAGUCAGAGGUGAAAGGCUACGGCUCAACCGUAGUAAGCCUUUGAAACUGAGAAACUUGAGUGCAGGAGAGGAGAGUAGAAUUCCUAGUGUAGCGGUGAAAUGCGUAGAUAUUAGGAGGAACACCAGUUGCGAAGGCGGCUCUCUGGACUGUAACUGACACUGAGGCACGAAAGCGUGGGGAGCAAACAGGAUUAGAUACCCUGGUAGUCCCUGA